rnacentral:rRNA from 1 species
GGCGAACGCUGGCGGCGUGCUUAACACAUGCAAGUCGAACGCUGAAGACCUGGCUUUUGUUGGGUUGGAUGAGUGGCGAACGGGUGAGUAACACGUGAGUAACCUGCCCUCUUCUUUGGGAUAACGCCCGGAAACGGGUGCUAAUACUGGAUAUUCACUGAUCUUCGCAUGGGGGUUGGUGGAAAGGUUUGUUCUGGUGGGGGAUGGGCUCGCGGCCUAUCAGCUUGUUGGUGGGGUGAUGGCCUACCAAGGCUUUGACGGGUAGCCGGCCUGAGAGGGUGACCGGUCACAUUGGGACUGAGAUACGGCCCAGACUCCUACGGGAGGCAGCAGUGGGGAAUAUUGCACAAUGGGCGAAAGCCUGAUGCAGCGACGCCGCGUGAGGGAUGGAGGCCUUCGGGUUGUAAACCUCUUUCGCUCAUGGUCAAGCCGCAACUGUGGGUUGUGGUGAGGGUAGUGGGUAAAGAAGCGCCGGCUAACUACGUG